rnacentral:ncRNA from 1 species
UCACAUCAUUGCUCGAAGACUGGAAAAACUGCAAGUUAGCUCAGUUGGUUUAAAACGGCAUAUGUGAGUGACGCGAACUAGCAUUUUGAAUUGAGAAAGCCGGUAGCCGGGGUGUUCGCCCUUGGUCUACGCGGAUCAGGGGCCCAGCUAACGCGUGAAACACUCCGCCUGGGGAGUACGGUCGCAAGACCGAAACUCAAAGGAAUUGACGGGGGCCUGCAAUACUGGACAUUUGGUGAAGGCCGGAUGGGGAUAGCGCUCACCUGAUAC